rnacentral:rRNA from 1 species
AGAGAGAGACAUGCGCGCAUAUCAAUAAGCGGAGGAAAAGAAACUAACAAGGAUUCCCCUAGUAACGGCGAGUAAAGCGGGAAGAGCUCAUAUUUGAAAUCUUAAAGGGUUUCCCUUUACGAAUUGUAGUUUAAAGAAGUGUUUUCUGUUGGAGUUUCGGUAAAAGUUCUUUGGAAUAGGACAUCAUAGAGGGUGAGAAUCCCGUAUUUGACCAGUUACUUUCCAGCUGUGUGAUACACUUUCAAAGAGUCGGAUUGUUUGGGAAUGCAGUCCAAAAUGGGUGGUAAAUUUCAUCUAAAGCUAAAUACUGGCGAGAGACCGAUAGCGAACAAGUACCGUGAGGGAAAGAUGAAAAGAACUUUGAAAAGAGAGUUAAACAGCUACGUGAAAUUGUCAAAAGGGAAGCGUUUGACACCAGUGUUGUUUUCUCGAAAAUCAAUUAAAAAUGGUGGGAUUUUGUGUUGUAUUGACUUUAUCAGCUUUCUGCACUUUUUUCCUAUCUUUUUUAAUGCACCUUUCGUUUAACAAGUCAACAUCAAUUUCUUUUGUUGUAAAAGAGUCAUUGGAAGGUGGCUUUCACUUCGGUGAAAGUGUUUAUAGCCUUUGGCCUCUGCAAUCGGAGAGAUUGAGGUCUGCAGCGUAGAUCCUUCGGGGUUAGAUACAUUUGUGCUAAGUUAUAGCCUUUCAUAGACAACUUGUUGACUAUGAUCAGUCAUGUAGCUUACUCGCUUAUGCUAUUUUACCUACGCUUAGGAUGUUGACAGCAGUAUAGACUGU